UACGUAGGGAGCAAGCGUUAUCCGGAUUUACUGGGCGUAAAGCGCGCGUAGGCGGACGCUUAAGUGUGGCCUGAAAUCCCUCGGCUCAACCGGGGAACUGCGUCUGAGACUGGAAGGCUUGAAUCCGGGAGAGGGAUGUGGAAUUCCAGGUGAUAGCGGUGAAAUGCGUAGAUAUCUGGAGGAACACCGGUGGCGAAGGCGGCAUCCUGGACCGGUAUUG
rnacentral:rRNA from 1 species